UACGGAGGAUGCGAGCGUUAUCCGGAUUUAUUGGGUUUAAAGGGUGCGUAGGCUGGUAUUUAAGUCAGUGGUGAAAUACCUCGGCUCAACUGAGGAGCUGCCAUUGAUACUGUUUGUCUGGAGUGAAGUUGGAGUGGGCGGAAUGUGUUAUGUAGCGGUGAAAUGCUUAGAUAUCACGCGGAACGCCGAUCGCGAAGGCAGCUGGCCAGGCCGAGAUCGACGCUGAGGCACGAAAGCGUGGGGAUCAAACAGG
rnacentral:rRNA from 1 species